rnacentral:rRNA from 1 species
AUACGUAGGGGGCAAGCGUUAUCCGGAUUUACUGGGUGUAAAGGGAGCGUAGACGGUUUGGCAAGUCUGAUGUGAAAGCCCGGGGCUCAACCGCGGGACUGCAUUGGAAACUGUCAGACUUGAGUGCAGGAGAGGUAAGUGGAAUUCCUAGUGUAGCGGUGAAAUGCGUAGAUAUUAGGAAGAACACCAGUGGCGAAGGCGAUCUACUGGACGAUAACUGACGCUGAGGCGCGAAAGCGUGGGGAGCAAACAGGAUUAGAUACCCUGGUAGUCCACGCUGUAAACGAUGAAUACUAGGUGUGGGGGGACUGACCCCUUCCGUGCCGCAGUUAACACAAUAAGCAUUCCACCUGGGGAGUACGGCCGCAAGGUUGAAACUCAAAUGAAUUGGCGGGG